UUUCCGUAGGUGAACCUGCGGAAGGAUCAUUAAUGAGUUGUCAUGGGGUUCGAUGCUGGCAGCCAAUUUUUGGAUGCAUGUGCUUGCCCUAACAAUCAUCUUCCAAACACCUGUGCACAUUCUUGAGGGAGUCUUGAGUUGGUUGCCGCUCUUGGGUGAUUUUCUCACAUUCCCUUAAAUCAUUAUACGCUAUUAACAAUGUUGAACGUGCUCUGUGCCGCAAGGCUAUUAAUAUAAUACAACUUUUAACAACGGAUCUCUUGGCUCUC
rnacentral:misc_RNA from 1 species